GGAGCAGGCACAGCUGUGAGAGACAGCUAGGUGGGCCGAGCCUGCAGCUGAGCUGGACACCUCAGCGAUGUGGGAAAG
rnacentral:miRNA from 1 species